ACAGGUGGUGCAUGGUUGUCGUCAGCUCGUGUCGUGAGAUGUUGGGUUAAGUCCCGCAACGAGCGCAACCCUUAUCUUCAGUAGCCAGCAAUUCGGUUGGGCACUCUGGAGAGACUGCCAGGGAUAACCUGGAGGAAGGUGGGGAUGACGUCAAAUCAUCAUGCCCCUUAUGAUUUGGGCUACACACGUGCUACAAUGGCGUAAACAAAGGGAAGCAGCCCUGUGAAGGUGAGCAAAUCCCAAAAAUAACGUCUCAGUUCGGAUUGUAGUCUGCAACUCGACUACAUGAAGCUGGAAUCGCUAGUAAUCGCGAAUCAGAAUGUCGCGGUGAAUACGUUCCCGGGUCUUGUACACACCGCCCGUCACACCAUGGGAGUCGGAAAUGCCCGAAGUCAGUGACCCAACCGUAAGGAGGGAGCUGCCGAAGGUGGAGCCGGUAACUGGGGUGAAGUCGUAACAAGGUAGCCGUAUCGGAAGGUGCGGCUGGAUCACCUC
rnacentral:rRNA from 1 species